CAGUACGUUGAAACACCGGUUACCGCGCGAUCACCGAAGUUAAGCAGCGUUUGGUCUGAUCGGUACCUAGAUGGGUGACCGCUUAGGAAUACCAG